rnacentral:misc_RNA from 1 species
UACGGAGGGUGCAAGCGUUAAUCGGAAUCACUGGGCGUAAAGCGCGCGUAGGCGGCCUGAUAAGCCGGUUGUGAAAGCCCCGGGCUCAACCUGGGAACCGCAUCCGGAACUGUCAGGCUAGAGUGCAGGAGAGGAAGGUAGAAUUCCCGGUGUAGUGGUGAAAUGCGUAGAGAUCGGGAGGAAUACCAGUGGCGAAGGCGGCCUUCCGGACUGACACUGACGCUGAGGUGCGAAAGCGUGGGUAGCAAACAGG